rnacentral:rRNA from 1 species
CCAUACGACCGUACCGCAAACCGACACUGGUGCGCGAGAUGAGUAUUCUAAGGCGCUUGAGAGAACUCAGGAGAAGGAACUCGGCAAAUUGACACCGUAACUUCGGAAGAAGGUGUGCCCUAUUAGUGUGAAGUGAACAACGGAGCAUGAAUGGGUUGCAAAAAAUCGGUGGCUGCGACUGUUUAUUAAAAACACAGCACUCUGCAAACACGAAAGUGGACGUAUAGGGUGUGACGCCUGCCCGGUGCUGGAAGAUUAAAUGAUGGGGUGCAAGCUCUUGAUUGAAGUCCCAGUAAACGGCGGCCGUAACAAUAACGGUCCUAAGGUAGCGAAAUUCCUUGUCGGGUAAGUUCCGACCUGCACGAAUGGCGUAACGAUGGCCACACUGUCUCCUCCUGAGACUCAGCGAAGUUGAAAUGUUUGUGAUGAUGCAAUCUCCCCGCGGAAAGACGGAAAGACCCCAUGAACCUUUACUGUAGCUUUGUAUUGGACUUUGAACAGAUCUGUGUAGGAUAGGUGGGAGGCUUUGAAGCAGGGUCGCUAGAUCUUGUGGAGCCAACGUUGAAAUACCACCCUGGUGUGUUUGAGGUUCUAACCUGGGUCCAUUAUCUGGAUCGGGGACAGUGCAUGGUAGGCAGUUUGACUGGGGCGGUCUCCUCCCAAAGCGUAACGGAGGAGUUCGAAGGUACGCUAGUUACGGUCGGACAUCGUGACGAUAGUGCAAUGGCAUAAGCGUGCUUAACUGCGAGACUGACAAGUCGAGCAGAUGCGAAAGCAGGACAUAGUGAUCCGGUGGUUCUGUAUGGAAGGGCCAUCGCUCAACGGAUAAAAGGUACUCUGGGGAUAACAGGCUGAUACCGCCCAAGAGUUCAUAUCGACGGCGGUGUUUGGCACCUCGAUGUCGGCUCAUCUCAUCCUGGGGCUGUAGCCGGUCCCAAGGGUAUGGCUGUUCGCCAUUUAAAGAGGUACGUGAGCUGGGUUUAAAACGUCGUGAGACAGUUUGGUCCCUAUCUUCCGUGGGCGCUGCAGAUUUGAGGAAGCCUGCUCCUAGUACGAGAGGACCGGAGUGGACACACCUCUGGUGUAUCGGUUGUCACGCCAGUGGCAUUGCCGAGUAGCUAAGUGUGGAAGAGAUAAACGCUGAAAGCAUCUAAGCGUGAAACUCGUUUCAAGAUGAGAUCUGCCGGGGCCUUGAGCCCCCUGAAGAGUCGUUCAAGACCAGGACGUUGAUAGGUCAGGUGUGGAAGCGCAGUAAUGCGUUAAGCUAACUGAUACUAAUUGCUCGUGCGGCUUGAUCA